rnacentral:lncRNA from 1 species
CGAACCCAGGGCCUUGCGCUUCCUAGGUAAGCACUCUACCACUGAGCUAAAUCCCCAGCCCCGAGAUGGCCUCACUUAAAAAAGGCCCAAAUUGCUUAAAAGAUAAAGGACAAUGGCACACUUGAGGGGAAAGCUAUACCCCCCCCCAAAAAACAAACAAAAGACUCACUUUGCCAAAUUAAGAAUUUUAGACUCAUUUAAGAGAUAAGAAGUUUGUCCAAAUAGUUAAAAUAUAUAUAGUAGACUUUAAGAUUUUAGCCAAGAGAGACAGUAAAAAAGUAUAAGAUACGUCAGUAAGUAAAUGCUUAACAAACAAACAGGACAAAGAGACCUAGAGAGUUUAACGAAAAGUUAAAGUGAACUUCACUGAGAUAAAACCAGAAAAAUAUAAUCACAAGUAUCUCCGAGUGCUUGUAGAUACCUUUUCAGGAAUAGAUAGAAGCUUUCCUCACCAAACGAGAGACGGCCUCUACAAUCAUCAAGAAGAUACUGGAAGAAAUCUUCCCCAGGUCUGGAAUGCCCAAGGUAAUCUGGUCUGACAGCGGCCCUACUUUCGUUGCCAAGGCUAAAAGACCUACAGGUGAUACAGAAAGAAAUCUGCUCACAGCUGACAGCAGCCUAUGCCCCGGAGAACCCUGAGACAUCCCAUCAGUUCCAGGUCGGAAGCAGCUACACUGAGCCCAGACACUCGAGCCUUGCUGGAAAGGACCGUACCUGGUGCUGCUGACCACCCUGACAGCCGUCAAUUCUCAGCCCUCACCAGCCGUGUACUAGCUGUUAGGGCUGAGAGCUGGGACCUAGAGGGAAAUUCAGUCAUGUUUGUCCUGGGUUCCAUUGAGAUAGGUGUGGGGAUAGGCUUGAUUUCUAUUACAAAUGAUAUAACAUUACAUAUGUUAGUACUCCUAACACUUCUUGGGACUGUGCCUCAGGGAUCACAACCUAUAUAAGUUUAGAAAUUCUAAAAGACAGUCAUGACCUUGGUGUAUAGGUUCAGAUAGUGUCC